UGGGCGAGUAAAGCAGCGAUGCGCUUAGGGAUGGGCCUGCGGCGGAUUAGGUAGUUGGUGGGGUAACGGCCUACCAAGCCGAUGAUCCGUAGGGGGCGUGAGAGCGUGGCCCCCCACACUGGCACUGAGACACGGGCCAGACUCCUACGGGAGGCAGCAGUGAGGAAUAUUGCACAAUGGGCGCAAGCCUGAUGCAGCAACGCCGCGUGAGGGACGAAGGCCUUCGGGUUGUAAACCUCUUUUCUGAGGGACGAGGAAGGACGGUACCUCAGGAAUAAGUCUCGGCUAACUACGUGCCAGCAGCCGCGGUAAAACGUAGGAGGCGAGCGUUAUCCGGAUUUACUGGGCGUAAAGCGCGCGCAGGUGGCUUCGUGAGUCGGACAUGAAAGCUCCUGGCUUAACUGGGAGAGGCUGUUCGAUACUGCGGGGCUUGAGGUUGGGAGAGGGACGCGGAAUUCCCGGUGUAGUGGUGGAAUGCGUAGAUAUCGGGAGGAACACCAGUGGCGCAAGCGGCGUCCUGGCCCACACCUGACGCUGAGGUGCGAAAGCGUGGGUAGCAAACAGGAUUAGAUACCCUGGUAGUCCACGCUGUAAACGAUGUCAACUGGGUGUCGGUAGUUUUACACUAUCGGUGCCGAAGCUAACGCG
rnacentral:rRNA from 1 species